rnacentral:rRNA from 1 species
GCAGAGCAUCCUACGGGAGGCAGCAGUGGGGAAUAUUGCACAAUGGGCGCAAGCCUGAUGCAGCCAUGCCGCGUGUAUGAAGAAGGCCUUCGGGUUGUAAAGUACUUUCAGCAGUGAGGAAGGUGGGUAUGUUAAUAGCAUACUCAUUUGACGUUAGCUGCAGAAGAAGCACCGGCUAACUCCGUGCCAGCAGCCGCGGUAAUACGGAGGGUGCGAGCGUUAAUCGGAAUUACUGGGCGUAAAGCGCAUGCAGGUGGUUUGUUAAGUCAGAUGUGAAAGCCCGGGGCUCAACCUCGGAAUUGCAUUUGAAACUGGCAAACUAGAGUACUGUAGAGGGGGUAGAAUUUCAGGUGUAGCGGUGAAAUGCGUAGAGAUCUGAAGGAAUACCGGUGGCGAAGGCGGCCCCCUGGACAGAUACUGACACUCAGAUGCGAAAGCGUGGGGAGCAAACAGGAUUAGAUACCCUGGCG